rnacentral:rRNA from 1 species
AGCAGCCGCGGUAAUUCCAGCUCCAAUAGCGUAUAUUAAAGUUGUUGCAGUUAAAAAGCUCGUAGUUGAAUUUCGGGGUCAGCAGGUUGGUCGUGCCUCUGGUAUGCACUGGUUUCGCUGAUUCCUCCUUUCUGAAGAACUGUAAUGUCAUUAAUUUGGUGUUGCAGGGAAACAGGACUGUUACUUUGAAAAAAUUAGAGUGUUUAAAGCAGGCUAACGCUUGAAUACAUUAGCAUGGAAUAAUGAAAUAGGACGUUUGAUCCUAUUUUGUUGGUUUCUAGGAUUGACGUAAUGAUUAGUAGGGAUAGUUGGGGGCAUUAGUAUUCAAUUGUCAGAGGUGAAAUUCUUGGAUUUAUUGAAGACUAACUACUGCGAAAGCGUUUGCCAAGGAUGUUUUCAUUAAUCAAGAACGAAAGUUAGGGGAUCGAAGACGAUCAGAUACCGUCGUAGUCUUAACCAUAAACUAUGCCGACUAGGGAUCGGAUGAUGUUAAUUUUUUAAUGACUCA